rnacentral:rRNA from 1 species
GAUGAACGCUGGCGGCGUGCCUAAUACAUGCCAGUCGAGCGGACAGACGAGGAGCUUGCUCCUCUGAUGUUAGCGGCGGACGGGUGAGUAACACGUGGAUCACCUACCUAUAAGACUGGGAUAACUUCGGAAAACCGGAGCUAAUCCCGUAUAACCUCCUGCACCACAUUGUUCAACAGUGAAAUACGGUCUUGCUGUCACUUCUAGAUGCGUACGCGCCGCUUUAGCUAGUUGGUGAGGUCACGGGCUUCCACGGCAACGAUGCGUCACCGAACUGAGAGGGGGAUCGGCCACACGGGAAGUGAGACACGGUCCAGACUCCUACGGGAGGCAGCAGUAGGGAAUCUGCCGCAAUGGGCGAAAGUCUUGCGGAGCAACGCCGCGUGAGUGAAGAAGGCCUUCGGAGCGUAAAACUCUGUUAUUGGGUAAGAACAAAUGUGUAAGGAAACAUGCACGGCGUGACGGUACCGAAUCAGAAAGCAACGGCUAACUACGUG